AGAGUGAACGCUGGCGGUAGGCCUAACACAUGCAAGUCGAACGGCAGCACAGUAGGAGCUUGCUCUUACGGGUGGCGAGUGGCGGACGGGUGAGGAAUACAUCGGAAUCUACCUUUUGGUGGGGGAUAACGUAGGGAAACUUACGCUAAUACCGCAUACGCCCUUCGGGGGAAAGCCGGGGACCAGCAAUGGCCUGGCGCUGAUAGAUGAGCCGAUGUCGGAUUAGCUAGUUGGUGAGGUAAUGGCUCACCAAGGCGACGAUCCGUAGCUGGUCUGAGAGGAUGAUCAGCCACACUGGAACUGACGACACGGUCCAGACCUCCGUACGGGAGCAGCAGGUGGGGAAU
rnacentral:rRNA from 1 species